UCUUGGAUACUCUCAGUCAAACAAAGCUUAUAAAGUGUUAAAUAAGAUAUUACUUACCAUUGAAGAGUUUGUACAUCUCACUUUUGAUGAAUCUUAUCCUAGAAAUGUUGUGAAAGGUAUUUCUUUUCAUGAGGCAAGUGUAUCUUCAGAAGACAUACUCAAAGACACCUGUCGCUAGCGCGAAAAAACUGGACUUGACUGACACAGAGUCGCCACCGGAUUUUAUUUAUUCCUAUAUGAGGAAAGGGAAA
rnacentral:lncRNA from 1 species